rnacentral:ncRNA from 1 species
AGACAGGGGAGCUUGUGGACAGGCUGAGAGGAAGUUUUAUUAACUUCGACCCUUUUACCUGAUGCGGAUAAUGCCGCCGUAGGAAGUGUGAUUAUGC